ACUCUGAGUCAUCGGGGAGGGUCUCUUCAUGACGGGAUCGAGAAUUUGCUCCAGCCAGCUUCCUGGAGAUGUUUCACCCUCAGAGGAGCUGCACUUGUAGAGGCCUUCAUCAGACUUGGAGACAUUGUUAAUGGUUAUCUCUUCUGCAGGACUGCCCUGCAGGAGGACGCCAUCCUUGUAGAAAUGAGCUAAGAGCUUGUUGGAACUGGUCUUGCUUCUGCAGCACAGAGUCACAAUGUGUCCCUCCAUCACAGGAAGAGCAGGACUGUCCAAAAUUACAGAACCAGCUGUGGAAAGAAAGAAAAAGCUGUUAUUAAUAUGUUUUAUUAAUUAUUAACAUUGCAGUUACACCCAGUUGGAAACUGAAGAUAUUUUCCACAGUUCAGGAAGAGAAAUUACACGUGUGAAAAUACAGAUAUAAGAAUGUACACUACAAAAUGACAUCUGAGAUUAUAAAGGGUGCACUAGUCGCUAAAGUGUGAGCUGGCAAUAGCUAUGAAAAAUAGUGUAAUGUGACACCAGAAGGUAAGUAUGACUCCUGACACAAUGUAGGGCUGUUAUGACAGUGAUACGUAUGUGUAUCACUGUCUGUAAUUACAUAUCAUAUAUGCAUGUACAUUAGUCGUAUGUGACUAAUGUACAUGCAUAUAUGAUAUGUAAUUACUGUUUGAAAUAAAGUUUCACUACAUUUGUUUAACUGAGGGUGCAAAAUAUUAAACAGAGUACAAUGUAUGCCUUUGCUCCCCCAUAGAAACAGCCCUUGUGGUAAUAUAAAAAAGACUGGUGUCAACGUAUUGCUUUUUAUAUGCCCGUCAUUCACCCUAACAUCUCGCAGUGACUCCAGUUUUAUUCUCUCAAAAAAACUGUACAUAAUCCAGGCAGCGAUUACAUUCAUCAGCACAAAUAAAAUGAGCCUCAAACAUCUCAAAGAAGAGGAAGCAAUAAUUCCCAAAGGUUUUCAUAUUUCCAUGAACAAAAUCUACGUUAAAUAAAAAAUGAUGGGCAAAUAUAUGCGAAACAUGAGGUAAUUAUACUUCAAAUUACAUGUAGUGGCUAGAAAUACAAUAAACAUACCAGUGACAGUGA